GCUCUCCUUUUCCCUUCACUCUCUUUCUCUGUCUCUCUCUCUCUCCACCGCUUCAAAAGCAGAGGAACAAGUGCCGUAGGGAGAGAGAAAAGCUAAGUACGAAGAGGGAAGAGGGAGAAAAGAGGGGAGGAAGGAGGAAUCGCAAGUUUCACAUCCGCCGGAAACUAAUCCCACGAAAUGCCGCCACCAACGCAGCCGAGCAUUAGCCUGAACGGUGACCACAGACCACCACGCCCACCGCAGAGUUCAAACACCCAUCCCCACCAACACCAUCCGUACUACCCAUCAGCGUCUUCUUCCAACUCAGCCUCCUUGAAAGGCUGCUGUUGCUGUCUCUUCCUCCUCUUCUCCUUCCUUGCUCUCCUUGUCCUCGCCAUCUUCCUCAUCAUCAUUCUUGCUGUCAAGCCUAAGAAACCCCAGUUCGAUCUCCAACAAGUCGGCGUCCAGUACAUGGGCAUCUCCGCUUCCAACCCCAGUUCGUUUGACCCCACCACCGUCGCCACUGGGCCCACUUCCGCUUCACUCUCUUUAACCAUCCACAUGCUAUUCACCGCCGUUAAUCCCAAUAAGGUUGGGAUCAAGUACGGUGAGUCCAAGUUCACUGUUAUGUACCAUGGGAUCCCUUUGGGGAAGGCUUUGGUUCCUGGGUUUUACCAGGAGGCCCAUAGCGAGCGACAGGUAGAGGCCACCAUCUCCGUCGAUCGCUAUAGCUUGUUGCAGGCAAAUGCUGCUGAGUUGAUCAGGGACGCCUCGUUGAAUGAUAAAGUGGAGCUUCGGGUUCUGGGUGAAGUUGGUGCUAAGAUCCGUGUUCUAGACUUCGACUCCCCUGGAGUACAGGUAUCUGUGAAUUGUGCAAUAGCGAUAAGUCCAAGGAAGCAAUCUCUUACUUACAAGCAGUGUGGGUUUGAUGGAUUAAACGUCUGACUAAGCAGAACAUGGCCAAAAACAGAAGGCAAAGAAGAAAAGAUUAUAUAUAUUUUUUUCUUUUUUCUGUUCCCUUGUUUAAUUUUUUUUAGAGAUAAGCAAGUGAGAGUGGAGAAAAGCAAAAGAGAAGGCUAGAAAGUAGAAAGCAGGUUAAGACUGGAGACCCAUAUCCUCACAUGGAGGAUGGAAGGCAAAGAUGGGUGGUAAAAAAAGAGAAAUGGG
rnacentral:misc_RNA from 1 species